rnacentral:rRNA from 1 species
UCUUAAGCAUAUCAAUAAGCGGAGGAAAAGAAACCAACAGGGAUUGCCCUAGUAACGGCGAGUGAAGCGGCAACAGCUCAAAUUUGAAAUCUGGCUUCGGCCCGAGUUGUAAUUUGUAGAGGAAACUUUUGGUGAGGCACCUUCUGAGUCCCUUGGAACAGGGCGCCAUAGAGGGUGAGAGCCCCGUAUAGUCGGAUGCCGAUCCAAUGUAAAGUUCCUUCGACGAGUCGAGUAGUUUGGGAAUGCUGCUCAAAAUGGGAGGUAAAUUUCUUCUAAAGCUAAAUAUAGGCCAGAGACCGAUAGCGCACAAGUAGAGUGAUCGAAAGAUGAAAAGCACUUUGAAAAGAGGGUUAAAUAGCACGUGAAAUUGUUGAAAGGGAAGCGUUUGUGACCAGACUUGCGCCGUUCCGAUCAUCCGGUGUUCUCACCGGUGCACUCGGGGCGGCUCAGGCCAGCAUCGGUUUUGGUGGGGGGAUAAAGGUUCAGGGAACGUAGCUCCUCCGGGAGUGUUAUAGCCCUGGGCGUAAUGCCCUCGCUGGGACCGAGGUUCGCGCAUC